rnacentral:lncRNA from 1 species
UCCCUUUCGUCUCCGACUCCAUUCCAUAGUACUCUCUUCGUCCCCGACCCCUGCCUCCGAUGGCCGCCGGAGCUCCGAUCGCCUCCGUCCACCUUCCUUCUGGCGGUAGGGAUUCCGGCGACGCGGAGCUCUGGGUCGUGGUUAACACAAGUUUCACGCUUACUUCCUUGAUUCCAGGUCAAGUGAUUUUUAGGGUUGGGAAUCUCUGGGAACAUGGGUUGGGUGAAAGAGGGCCGCGAGUGAUGGGUCGCAGGGGCGUCGUGUGUCAGGCCAAUGCUGCGGAUUGGAGAGAGAAAUUUUGGGAUUUGGAUGGCCACAAUGCUCUCAGCUGAAUCAAGGAGUCAUAAAUAAAAACAACGGUACUUUGACGUAGACUUGUAUUGCAUUGUAGAGAAAAAUAUAAACAUAGUUUCCCACUUUGACAGUGUUUGAUUUAGUAACAAUUUUGAGAGUUAUUUGUGUCAUUACUACCUUCCAUAAUUCAUUGUUUCAGAUAUGAUGUUAUUACACCAAUUACAAUUGCUAUAUAAAAGCUUUGUGAAAUUAAUUUUUGUAAACCAUUUUAGUUGUUAUUUGUUUAUUCUUUAGUACGGGCAUUGUUGCGCGCCAACUGCUGCCAUUUGAUCAAAUUGUGAAACUUUUUUUUUUUCAAUGACAUAAUAUGACAUCGAAUCAUUUGUUCUUGAAAAAUGAACAUAUUUUUACCUCCACAUGUUUACAAUUUGAUAGUCUAUGAUUUUACAUUUACAUAAUUGUAUCAUAGAUAAGAUGCAUGACAAAGUAUUCUUUUUAUAAGUUUAUAAUUAUGGUGGGUUUUCAUCGUCAUGCCUUGGUAAUUUAUGUGUUCUCUCUCCCUUUCUCUUGCUCUGAUCCUCAGCUAAAUUUUGAUCACAAAGGAAUCAUAGUCUGACUUCUCUUUAUCAAAAUCUUCAGUCCGGCAAAUUUCCAAGAGAUUUUAUGUUUCUGUUGCUCCUUUGUUUGAUUUGUAGAGGUAUAUAAAUAUGUAGAGCAAUAGUUGCUAUUUUCGAUGCAUUUUGGUUGGAACUGAAAUGCUUCAUGAUGUUUGCCGUUUUCUUUAGAAAUUAGAGUGUGCCCCGUGUCUCACUAUCUAUUGCUGCCUCUAUCUGGGUCCACAGGCUUUCAGUUAAUAUGGUCAAAAACACAUAAACGAUGUUGCUUAUUCUGUAGGUUCAAAAACUCCUUCAUUUUUUAAUAUCUGAAUCAAUUCAUCAGUGCUUUCUGGAACUCAGCCAUAUAUUUUCUCCAAGAUUUGAGGUAGACUUCUGUAGUUAUUGGAAGCUGCAAGUAGUACCAGAUAAACAGCAUCACUGCUGUCUUUGUUUAACAGCUUGGGUGACUUUGGAGUGUAAUAAGUGGGAUUUCGCUGAAAGCUGUCUUUGGUGGCAUACCAUUGUUAUCAUGGAUAGAUGCUGAGGUAACUGUUCAGUAGCCCCAGGAAGGAUAAAGCUAGAAACAAGUACACCAAAGGGUAAAGUGAGGGAGAGCCACAAGAACUAGUUUCUCCAUGAGCUUUAUAGGCCAAAGCUAGUUAUAUUAAAGAAAACAUCGCAGUUGAAAACACAUGUUGACGGGUUAUAUGAAGAUGAGAAGAUCAAUGAAAUUUUUUAUAAAAGUAAUAAGAAGAGAUUAAGAAAACUUAUGUUUAAGUAGAUCGUGUUGUCGUUAUUUUUGAGAAGAAAAUGGCUUUGUCGUGUCUCAUUUCAUGAGAUAUAGAAACGAAUACAAGCAGAAGAAAAAACUAUAAAACAUAAGACAAUUUAAAAGAAGAAAAGUUGAUGGCCAUCUUAGGGAAUAGCAUACAAGACCCUUCUCAACAUAAAAGAGUUAACCAUCCUAACGACUUCUUGAAAAUUCUUCCUGUCCGGCCAAGCCCUCCAACAAAUAACCAUAGAAAGAGGGGUAAAACUAUGACAAUAUAGAACUGCAAUAGCAAAACUAUGACAAUAUAAGCAAAAAGUUAUAAACUACAUGCUGAUUUUUCCAUAAUACAAAUAUGAUUAUUUUUUCAUGCGACUUCGCCCUGUUAGUUGAUCAGAUCAACUCUCUCUCUUUCUCUCUCUAACCUGAAUUGGCAAACCUCCUUUCAUCCUCAGGGUCAGUGAGAGUAUGUAUUCUGGAGUUUUGUCCUUCCCCACAACAUUGAAUUCAAAUUUUUCAAGCACACAAGCUGCAAUCGAUUUCAUCUGUAUGUAUGCCAUCUCCUUCCCCAAGCACAUUCUCGGACCAGCGUGAAACACUGGAUAUUUGAAUGGAUUUUCUGGCUGGAAAAUCCCAUUUUCCAACCACCUCUCCGGCUUGUAGUUGUUGCAGUCCUUCCCCCAGACGUCCUCCAGCCUUCCAAGAGCAUAAGCAUGGUAUGUCACAAACCAUCCUUUAUGCACCAAUGUUCCGUCUGGCAUGGUGUCAUCUUCUUUGCAAGAAAGCGUGUCAAGGGCCACAGGGGGAUACAACCUCAUCGACUCUGAAAUUGCAGCAUGAAGGUAAUGCAUCUCUCGCAGCUCAUCAAAACUAAAUGUCUCGCUUGCUUUCUGAUUCAGGGCCCGGAUCGAUCUGACUUCGUCUAGUAUCUUUUUCUCGACAUCAGGUCUUGCCGAUAGGAGCCAGAAGAACCAUGUCAGUGCUGAUGAUGUUGUCUCACGCCCAGCUGUAAGGAAGCUCACCACCACAUCUCGAAGAUAUUCUUCAGUGUUAUCUUUAUUUGAAGUGAAUCGAGACAGAAGAUCACUAAAGUGAUCCAAAGGCCUUUCCUUCCUUGAUCGAAUGAUGUUUGUGGUGUAGUCGUUGAUGAUUGAAAUUGAUUCUUUCAACCGUCUCUCCGAGCCGAUAUUUAGCAGCUUUUUGAUCCUCCAGGUGAUAUCCAGCGCAUCCAGGAAUCGCUCCACAACAAGGUUCUGCGCUUCUCCAAAGGUUUUCAUGAAGCGUGAGGAGAUUGUAUUGCCA